rnacentral:rRNA from 1 species
UUAGCUAGAUGGUAAGGUAACGGCUUACCAUGGCAAUGAUGGGUAGGGGGUCCGUGAGAGGGAGAUCCCCCCACACUGGUACUGAGACACGGACCAGACUCCUACGGGAGGCAGCAGUGAGGAAUAUUGGACAAUGGGCGCAAGCCUGAUCCAGCCAUGCCGCGUGCAGGAUGACGGUCCUAUGGAUUGUAAACUGCUUUUGUACAGGAAGAAACACUACUUCGUGAAGUAGCUUGACGGUACUGUAAGAAUAAGGAUCGGCUAACUCCGUG